GACGGAACCGUGCGAACGUUAUUCGGAAUCACUGGCUUAAGCGCGUGUAGCGAUGGAACGUCGGUAGUUGAAGCCCCGGCUCACGGGAGUGUGCGAACGACCGUCUGAGGACGUAGGGACUGACUCGUGAGCGUGAAUGCGUUGAGAUCGAGACGCCGUGCGAAGCGAGUCUGACGUCUACUGACGCUGAGACGCGAAGCUAGGAGCAACGG
rnacentral:rRNA from 1 species